CACGAAGUGCCUCCUGGACGAAUUCCACUAAGAAAAUCCACAGCAAGGCCGAGAUAAACUGACAGAGUGGCGGGGGCGCUGUUGAGGCGGGGAACUGGUGGCGCACCGGCAGCGAGGCGAAGAAGAGCACUGACGGCGAUAGGUGAUCGCGAGCAAGGGAAGGUUAGGAGAAUUAGCGCUGCCUGAAAGCAGGAGGAAGAGGGAGAAAACAAAACUAAAGGAUGAAAACAAAACUAGCACGAUCUCGGUGCAGGCAAAACAUGAGCUGUGGAUGGAGCUGAGACAUAAACGAGCACAACACGACGAUCUGACAACAGACAGCACACGAGAGGAGACUAAAUAGAGAAGGAGUGAUUAACAUAAUGCAGAGCAGAUGAUAGUGGCCAAUAACAAAAUAAUAAUGAAACAAGAGGGCGGAGACGAGCACCACGAUGACACAGAAGCACAUGAGCUACCUCCACGAGUGCGCCGAGUGACAAUGCUCCAUGGCCCAAAGACGUCCAGUCCAACAUCGAUAAAAGGGGGUUCUGAGAGGCUCUGUCCCGAGACACUCUAGAGUUACGUGAGACUGAGGAUUGCUCAAUCUUCCACAAUGGACUUCACAUAGGAUGAACUGUUUCCAGCAAGGAUUCAUUAAUUGAUGACUGCACCUUAGAACUCUUCACUAACACUGCCUGCAUCACCUGGGCCACAGAGAAAACAAUGUUACUGCCUGUACAUGGCACAAUUAACCUUUAACCUUAC
ensembl:lncRNA